UACGUAGGGUGCGAGCGUUGUCCGGAAUUAUUGGGCGUAAAGGGCUCGUAGGCGGUCUGUUGCGUCAGGAGUGAAAACUCGGGGCUUAACCCCGAGCCUGCUUCUGAUACGGGCAGACUAGAGGUAUGCAGGGGAGAACGGAAUUCCUGGUGUAGCGGUGAAAUGCGCAGAUAUCAGGAGGAACACCUAUGGCGAAGGCAGCUCUCUGGUACGUGACUGACGCUGAGACGCGAAAGCGUGGGUAGCAAACAGG
rnacentral:rRNA from 1 species